CCUAUGGACCCUUUGUAUAGUUUUCCUUAAUGGUUCCAACUUGAAAGUUUGGGGUACAAUUCAUUAAUGACUCACUAACAAUUUGAGGUUUGUUUUAUUGCCCUAAUUUUAUUCACGAUUAAACUGGGGCUUAGAGAAUCACACAGGCCUGACCAGGUCACCCACAUGGUUAGUGUAGAGACGGGUGGAACGUGGGCUUGGGAUUUCCAGGCAGUACCAUUAUGAUGGUCUGUGGCAGGGAGCAGCAUUCACUUUGCUGGUUUAUUCAUUCAUUCAACAAAUAUUAUUGAGUAACCUCUGUGGGUCAGAUGCUUUCAUAGGGUUAUCUGAUUCUUCAGCAGUCCUGAGAAUCAGGUAAUGUUUAUAUUUUUUAAUCUGAGAAAAUUAGCUCUAAGAAGUUAUAACCCCCCCAAAGGAAAUAUAGCUCAUAAAGGAGCGAUACUAAAUUUUACAGUCACCCCUUUUUAUGCAGGUGGUACCCUAGGCAUUUUACAUUUGCAAACUUCUGUAAUCCAGAUAUUUUCAUGUAAGACAAAGAUUUUUUUUUUAAUUGAAGUAUAGUCAAGUUUACAAUGUUGUGUCAAUUGCAAGGUUUUUUUUUGAAUUUUGAAUUAAAAAAUAUUUUUUCAGGAGGGUAAUUAGGUUUAUUUAUUUGUUUCAUUUUUUAAAAUGAGGUACUGGUGUUUGAACCCAGGACCUCGUACAUGCUAAGCACGUGCUCUACCACUGAACUGUACCCUUCUCCCCAAGGCAAGUUUUCUUAUCCAUUAUUCUGAAGCUUAGGAGUUCAAAUAAAUUGGAUAGAAAACCAGAUCUUUUGAUCCCACUGUAGUCCUUUUCUUUAUAUUCUGCUGAAGGAGGUUGGGGAAAGCACUUCCUUUGUUCACUUCCUUAUUCAGCAUUUUUCAGCAGUGACUUUGCAUCAGGGCCUUGGUAGGUGCUUGGAAACAGAAAACAAGAAAUGACCCUUCUCUGCAGGGCAGGAAGCCUAGACCAAAAGCUGGGUAAUGUGAUCCGAGCUACGGUAGCCAUUUGAAGACUCUGAGGACAAACUGUACCUCCGGAUUUACUUGAGCUUCCCUUGCCUUCUGGUUGGUACACACCAGGUCAUCGCAACCCAGAUGGACCUGCAGCCCACAGUACAGUAUGUACCUCGAUCUCCUCUCCCCUCUCGUCAGGGCCUGCAGCAUGAGCAUCCCUGACUACGUGCAGUGUGCUGAGGACCACCAGACUUUCCCCGUGGUGGUCGAACACGUGGGGAUCAUCUCAGAGGAGAAUUUCUUUUGCAUCUAUAAGUGAAUCACCUUGGUGAGUCAGAUCAGUCCGUGCAGCUCCCAGUGGGCAAACUGUAUCCACUACAGGCACCACUAUGCGCCCAAGAAUGGGUGGAGCGACUUCCAGACCCACCGCAAGGUCUUGGGCCUUGUCAUCAUUACUGAAUGCCUCUCGGCCAAGGCUUCGAAAAGCUCCACGUGCAGAGGAGCUGUAUGGCACCACGCUCUAUGACUCUCAGCUCUUUGACUUUCUGCUGCAUGGGGAGGUGGCCGAGCAGCCGCGCACCAAAGUGGCCUUCAAUUUACGAGGACUGCAGGGUGGUGGAGAAGAGGAUAGACGACUUCACUGAGUCACUCUUCAUCUUGCCCAAGUCCAAGUGGCUGGACGGUGCAUCCGACAAUUCUGGGGACAAGAUCCUCCUUCUCUGCAUCCCAUUUGAGAAGGAGGACAUCAUGGGACUGGACACAGAAAGCAGUACGUUUUGGUUACUGAGUCCCUCAAAUUCCCAUAUGAAUAGUAGCAGCAGCUAGUCAGUUACUGCAGAGGAGCCCGCUGGGAUUGUGAUCGAGACCACGUUGAGUAUACAGAUCGCUCUGGGGAGCACUGCCAUCCCAAGAGCGCUGUCAUCUGAUCCAGGAAUGUGCGUGGUGUGUCUGUCCAGGGGAAAAGAGUACAAUUCAAAAAUAUAAAGAUUGUGAGCUAAUGAGAUAGACAAGACAACCGAACAUUUGUUAAAUAUCCUUUCAUGCCGGACACAAAUGUAUUAUACACACAAAAAGCACACAAAUCACGGUAGUACUGCGGUUACAAACGUGGGUCCGAGUUCGAGUCCUGCUCUGGAGUGACCAGUCCUGUGAGAUGGAGAACUGAGAUCUAUGUAUAGUUUUUUACAUUCUAUACCUGGAAAUUUCUCCAAAACUGCUUCCCACGUGCCCUCACCUCCAGUGGCAUCCAUCCAGACACCAGCACUGACACUGGCCGUGCUCAGAACUGCCUCAGCUCUGAAGACACAACUGACAAAUAGAAGGGGGCCAAGCCCUGUGACAGCAGGUGCUCUCACUUUGUGGGUCCUUAUGUAACUGCGCAGUGUUAUUCAGGAUCGCCCGUUCUAUACUGUGUGACGCUGCUGCCGUGUCUCCUAGUUAUUUCUCGUUCCUAGGAGAGAAUUCAGCAGUGCAGCAUCCUCUCCGAGCUCUAUGAGUUGAUCGGCUUCCACUGCAAGUCCGUCUUCUUCAAGUGGGUGGCCCCCGUGCAGCGCGUGGCCCCCGGCAUCCCGGAGCCUGGCGGGAAGGCCUGCUACCGACUCCUUCUGCAGACGCUUCCUGGCUACAGUCUGUCACUGAUUCUGCAGGACUUCAACAAAGUGUAUGAAGGUUUUCCAUCAGACUGUUUGCUCAGCCCCUUCCUGAAUGAGGGAUUGAAUUUUCCACAGGAAAUCUUAUGGAAGAGAGUGACAAGGCACAUGGGUUUCCCAAAAAGCAAUAGUUGUUGUAAUAAACUCUCACAUUGGUGAACUUUUUGAAUACAAGCGAGUUGAAAAUUUUAUCACUAGGUCAUAUGCCACAAAUCUGUCUUAAGAAUAAAAAGAUUCAGAUUUUAUAGAAGAAGCAGUUUGAAUCAAGUAUAAAUUACAAUUUGUACACUAGUUGGUGUUAGAACAUGUACUCACUCUUACCAUAAUUGCCUGUGGUAGGAACUGGAUCAUUAUUUGUUUAUUUAAAAAAAAUCCUCAAGGUUCUACUUGCCUCAUUCUUGAUGCGGCAGUGCUGAGGUUAGUUAAGUUGGGACAUUUAGAAUUCUUGGCUAGGUUUUCAGGACAUUGAUUUCAGCCUCUUUAUCUUUUUUAGAAUCUCUUCUUUGUGUCGGUCUUUGGUCUUUUGACAAUGUGGAAAUACUGCACAGAUCAGUCUUUCCCUUUUUCCUGUCUUUAUGGGAAAAGAUUUCUGUAAGACACACUACUAGGACAUUAAGCAUUUUGUGUGGGGUAAGUUUGGUCGGCUCAAAGGAUUUCAAUUAAUACGUAUUAAUACUUGCUAUUCAGCUAAAGAUAAGAAAAUUAUAAAAUAACUUAAUUAUACAUCAAUAAAUAUAGUACAAUAAGCCCAUCACCCAGAUUAAGGAAUUCACAAACAUUUCCAUAUUUCCUUUAUUCAGACCUUUGUUCUUUUACUUGUCCUUUGUUGAAGUAUUUGACAGCAAAUUCAAGAAAACAUGUCAUUUUACCCUAUGUACUCAAGUAGGCAUGUCUGAAAAAUGAGGGCCAUUUCUUUGAUCAGGUUUUUCCAUUUGACUUAUGUGCUCGUUAAGUACCAGCUGUAUCAGGCAUCUCACUAGGCAUUAGGAAUCCUUGGGGCAAUGAGACAGUCCUGGCUCCCAAGGAAGUUAAGGGCUGAUGGAAGAAACCAACACAGGAGCUUAGGUGCCUCACCUAAGGUCCCUGCGGGAUGACAACAAUUGGAAAAAAUUUGUGCACAAUACAGUGGGAUUCACAGAAGGGACUGGUCAGACUAGUAGGGCAGGCCAUGAGAGAGGCGGUCAGCAGGGCUACAAGAGGAGGAAUCAUUUGAUCAGAAUCUGAAAUCUUUUCUGCCAACCUUCCUACCAAGCCCUAGGGCCCAUCACACACAACCCUGUGCUGUAACUGUUUUUGAUUCCUGUUACCACGUCUCCUUCAGGAAGGAUUUUAAGGUGGAAAAUAUUUAAAAUCAGUAAUUGUUGCCAGAAGGGACAUAGAACAAAGAACAUGGAAACAACACAAAUGUCCAUCAGCACAUGACUGGAUAAAGACAAGGUGAUACAUAUCUACAAUGGAAUACUACUCAGCCACAACAGAUGCAAUUUGCAGCAACAUGGAUGGACCUGAAGACUGUCAUUCUAAGUGAAGUGGGGUGAAAAGAGAAAGAAAAAUGCCAUAAGACUUCAUUUAUGAGGAAUCUAAAAUUAAUAGCAAUAAUAAUAAGACCACAAAUGAACUAAUUGUUAUUUUGAUUUCUUGAAUAUGCUUAAGCACAUAUGACUGUCCUUUGUGAUUGGAUUACCAUAUUCUGUUUAUUAUUCUUUUGUAGUUGGCUUUAUUCCUCUGGUAACUAUGUAAGUUUAAAAAUCUGAAACUCUAAUCUGUUCUUAGAAACAAUAAUUAGUACAUAUAUGUAACUAAAAAAAUGCAGUAUACUCUAUACAUGUAUUUACAUGCAAUGUGUAUGUGGAGUUGAACUGUAAUAAUUAUACCUAAUAAUACUGAAAAAGGAAAAAAAUAAAAUAAUAUAUAAAAAAACUA